GACAGAGGAUGCAAGUGUUAUCCGGAAUUACUGGGCGUAAAGCGUCUGCAGGUUGUUUAUUAAGUCUGUUGUUAAAUCUUGUCUCUUAAGGGCAAGGCGUGCAAGGAGUACUGCUAAGCUAGAGACUGGAAGACGUAAGAAGUACGUUUGAAGUAGCGGUAAAAUGUGUUAAUCUCAAGCGGACUCACAACAGCGAAGGCAUCUUACGAGGACAGUUCUGACAGUAAAGGAUGAAGGCUAGGGGCGCGAAGUG
rnacentral:rRNA from 1 species